CGGUGACGUAACACACAAAAACAUGGUUCCCUUGUUUUGAACCUGAAAACGCGUGCUAAGUGUUUCUCUAACUUCACUACGCAUGAAGAAGAUGCAUUUCCGAAACCGAGUGACUGGAACACACUGAUAGGAGAAUAUGGCCCAGGCCGUGGAAACGUGUGCUGAAUCCGGACGCAGGCUGCGCUCCAUCUGCCGGAGGAUGUACGACGAAAACGAGGAUCUAUCCGAUGUUGAAGAAAUUGCAAACAUCAGAGGUUUCAGUGUGGAGGAAAAGCUUGUCAGUGACAGUUACAGUGCGACAUUUGUGCACUGCAUGGAGGGUAAAGACUUCUCUUAUGAAUAUGUGCAAAAGGACGCUCUCAGGACCCCACUCAUUUUUAAAGAGAAAGAUGGGCUUGGGAUCAGAAUGCCUGAUCCAGAAUUUACAGUCAGUGAAAUUAAAGGAUUAGUUGGCAGUCGGCGCUCUGUGGAUGUGAUGGAUGUGAGCACUCAGAAAGGCUCUGAGAUGAGCAUGGCUCAGUUUGUACGUUAUUAUGAGACACCAGAGGAAGAGCGGGACAAACUCUUCAACGUCAUCAGCUUAGAGUUCAGUCAUACUAAGCUGGAGAACCUCAUCAAGCGGCCCACAGUGGUUGAUCAAGUGGACUGGGUGGACAACAUGUGGCCUCCUGAUCUGAAACAAAGCCAAACAGAAGCAACCAAUGUAAUCUCAGACAUGAAGUACCCUAAAGUGCAAAGGUAUUGUUUGAUGAGUGUCAAGGGCUGCUACACAGACUUCCACAUUGAUUUCGGGGGAACCUCUGUUUGGUAUCAUGUAUUCAAAGGACAAAAAGUCUUUUGGCUAGUGCCUCCGACCCCUCAUAAUCUUGCCCUUUAUGAGGACUGGGUUCUGUCAGGCAAGCAGAGCGAUAUCUUCCUGGGAGACCGAGCUGACGGAUGCCAGCGAGUGGAGCUUAAGCAAGGAUACACCUUCUUCAUCCCAUCUGGGUGGAUCCAUGCUGUCUACACUCCAGAGGACACGCUGGUGUUUGGAGGCAAUAUUCUGCACAGCUUCAACAUUCCUAUGCAGCUUACCAUCCAUGAGAUAGAGAAUAGGACUAAGGUUAAUUCGAAGUUCCGUUUCCCCUUCUACAAUGAGAUGUGCUGGUAUGUCCUGGAGAGAUACCUGCACUGCCUCACAACACGUUCCUAUUUAUCUCGGGAUGUCCGCAAAGAGCCUGUACUAACGGAUAAUGAGACAAAGGCCAACACAGAAAGCCCCUCCUCUGACUCAAGAAUCCAGGACCUGAACGAGGACUCAUGUGAGACUCAGGUCAGGGAUGGUCAGGGUGAGAAACCAGAGAGAGGCGCUCAGGACGGACCCAGCUCUCCUGACAACCGGAGGGGCCAGCACCUCAAAGCCGUUUUAUCUGUGGACUCUGAGGACAGCUGUAAUCCCGGCUCCACCUCUCUAGAGUUCCCCCAAACCCCCUCAGACUCCCCAGCCUCGGAGUCUGUGAAUAAAUGGACGCAUUUGACAGAGUUUGAACUGAGCGGACUCAGGAAACUGGUUGAGAAGCUGGAGUCACUCCCUGAAAAUAAGAAAUGUGUUCCAGAGGGAAUAGAGAACCCACAAGCCCUGCUGGAAGACAUGAAGGUUCUCUUAAAAGAACAUGCCGAUGACGACCUAAAAUUAGCGAUCACUGGGGUUCCUGUGGUGUCCUGGCCCAAGAAAACCAUAAAGCCCCGGCCUCCCAACCGGCCGAAACCUAAGAUGGCAACUUCUCCUGCAUCAGCAGUCAAGCUGUCAGCGAGUCGGGGAACAUCUGGCGCCAGGAGGAGGCGGACGCGCUGCCGGAAGUGUGAGGCAUGCCUGCGGACGGAGUGUGGAGAGUGCCACUUCUGUAAAGACAUGAAGAAGUUUGGUGGGCCGGGCCGCAUGAAACAGUCCUGCAUCAUGAGGCAGUGCAUAGCACCUGUCCUGCCCCACACGGCUGUGUGUCUCGUCUGUGGAGAGGCAGGGAAAGAGGACACAGUGGAGGAAGAGGAGGAGAAGUUUAACCUCAUGCUCAUGGAGUGCUCCAUCUGCAAUGAGAUUGUUCAUCCUAACUGUCUUAAGGUAAAAGAUUCAAACGGAGUAGUCAAUGAUGAAUUGCCAAACUGCUGGGAGUGCCCAAAGUGCAACCAUGCAGGGAAAACAGGGAAAGCCUCAAAGCAAAAAAGGGGGCCAGGAUUUAAGUACGCAUCCAACCUUCCUGGCUCGCUCCUGAAAGAGCCGCGUUUGAACCGGGAUUCAAGAGACGAGCCUGACUCGCCAAUGGUGGCUACAGCAACUGUGACUGCUCUGACUGCCACAUCUGCUCUUAAAAGAAAGGCAGAGCGGGAGGAAGUCCCUAAGAGGAAAGAGGACGAGCCACUGAAGAAACGCCCACCCUUGCUGUCUCUGGAUGGUACGCCCCGGCCAAGGAUUGAGGACAACCCACUGAGGAAAAAGAGGAAACUUUUUGAUACAAAUGAUGAACCUGUGAUUGUAAAAAAGAAGAAGAAACUUUCAAAACCAGAUGACCCUCUGACUCCGAAGCGGCACAUCAAGACCGAGAACGAUCAUGACGAGGAAGAUGAUGACCAGGAGGAUCCCGAAGGAGAUCGAUUUUCUUUGGAAAGGAUUAAGUUAAAGGGGAAAAAAGAGUAUGAUGACGAGGACCAAGAAGAAGAUGAGGAGGGAGAGGAGCCGGUGAAAAAAGAAAGAGACCGCAGUGCAGAGGACAAAGCCAAAUUCCUGUUAAGUCCCCUGCUAAGAACAUCUGCGAUCAGAGAAAGUGAACAAACCUCAAACUCUCCCAGAGCGGGACCAAGCAGCGACUCAGGAGACGCUCAGCUGAAAGCUCGCCAUCAGCGACGACGGCUCCCCAACAAGGAGCUGAGCAAAGAGUUUAAACCGGAGACUCCCAAGGCAGCAGACCAGAACCACGGCUCGGUGAAGACAGAGGACAGCUCAGCCAUUCACAACAGACGACAACUCAAGAAAGAGGACUCAAUGACCAAUCAGAAUCGCAAACCCUUAAAAACAGAGGACUUAACCACUAAUCAGAGCCGCAGGGCCCUUAAAACUGAGGAGGGUUUGACCAAUCAAAACAGACGGCCACUGAAAACCGAGGACAGUCUGGCCAAUCAAAACCACAGGCCUGUAAAAACCGAGCCUGAGAACGAGGUGGAUGAGCAAAAGCCGAGAUGGCCUCUUAAUAAUGGCGGCAGUGAUCUGGGCGACUGGCUGCGACACAGGGGGCGAGAGCCGAAUGAUACGACGCGAGGUUACUCGCCGCUCGGCUGGAACAGGGGCACCCAGAUCACUCCGAUAUGCCCCCGCCCACUCCCCUGCAGGUCCCCGCCGAAAUGCAUCCAAAUGGAGCGCCAUGUGAUCCGUCCUCCUCCCAUUAGCCCCCCGCCGGACAGACUCUCGCUGAACGACGGAGAAACACACGUGAUGCGCAGAGAGAUGUGGAUGACAGUUUUCAGUCAUUUGACUCACAGAGAUCUUUGCGUGUGCAUGCGUGUCUGCAGGACGUGGAACAGAUGGUGCUGUGACAAGAGGCUCUGGAAGCACAUCAAUCUGAACAGGUGUAAGUCCAUCACUCCUCUCAUGCUGAGCGGGAUCAUCCGCAGGCAGCCGGUGGCUCUGGACCUGAGCUGGACCAACAUCUCCAAAAAACAACUUAGUUGGCUCAUCAACAGACUGCCAGGUCUGCGGGUGCUGCUGCUGUCAGGUUGCUCCUGGGUGGCGGUCUCUGCUCUCUGCACCUCAAGCUGUCCUCUCCUGCGGACUCUGGAUGUUCAGUGGGUCGAAGGACUGAAAGACGCCCAGAUGAGGGACCUGCUGUCUCCUCCUACAGAUAACAGGCCAGGUCAGUUGGACAACAGGAGCAAGCUGCGUAACGUCGAGGACCUGCGGCUGGCCGGCCUGGACAUCACGGACACCUCUCUGCGCCUCCUCAUACGCUACAUGCCCUCGCUGUCCAAGCUGGACCUGAGCUACUGCAACCAUGUCACGGACCAGUCAGUCAACAUCCUGACUGCGGCAGGAACAACCACAAGAGACUCGCUCACUGACAUCAACCUGUCAGGUAGGAGCCUGUCUUUGUUGGCUGUAAGUCCGCCUGCAUUUGACUUGCUCCCCCUAGUGGCUAAAUUCAACAUUCCUAAUUGAUGUCACGGUGGAUAAUGGAUCCGUUAAAUUCAGACAUCAAUUCCAUAGAUGUAAUUGGAACGUUUUCUCUCUAAGUCUGUAACAGAGUCACUGACCAGUCACUGACCUACUUCAAGCGCUGUGGGAGCGUCUGUCACAUCGACCUGCGAUACUGCAAACAGGUGACCAAGGAAGGCUGUGACCAGUUCAUCGCAGAAAUGUCCGUCAGUGUGCAGUUUGAACUGAUAGAAGAGAAACUGCUGCAAAAGAUCAGCUAGGAGCAGACUGUGUGACAUUUACGAAGUGAAACUACUGUCCACAUGGAGGCAGCAGAUGACUGGAGAACCACGCUGUGUUUCCUCAACAUAUGCAGACGACUGAACAGACACCAGAACGCGUCUGUCUGUCACUGUGGAACGAAGAAAAAGGGAAGCUGUGCUGCUAAGCCCGAAUGUAAAAAAAGGAAAUCUUGUCGUGUUAAGGCAAUAUCGCAAAAAUGUUUUUGUUGUUGUUUGCACCUGUUUCCAAAUUAUUUAUUUCUUUAUAUGUUAAUUGUUUAUGUAUUGUAUCAUGACUAUCUUUUGGUGUUUAUAGAUUGUUUUUGUUCAAAUGCAAAGUUUGUUGCAUUACAGUAAUAUUUUUGUAUCAGAAAGUGUUUCAUACAUUUAUGUGCAGUAUUUAUUGCACCACUGUACAGUAUCAUACCGUUGGAAUUGAUAAUCAAUAGGCAUUACUGUUACGCUCUUCAUUGUUGAGAGGCAAAGGUCCAGUUAUAUGUUGCCAAACUGUAGGAUGGUAGCUUGUGUUUGUAUUUUUUAUAUUUCAUUAUGUUCCCUGUUUCUGAACGGACUAAGGUACUGUACAUUUUGUUUUCCGUAUAAGGAUACCAUUUGCACUGAUACAGUAAAUACGAAUACAUGAAUGUUUUCACACAUACACUAUAAAGUGUACAAAGCAUAUUUUUUCAACAAUGUCUGGCUAUUUCUGCUAACAGCUUCUAGUUAUCGGGGUUAUAUUAACACAAACAAACGUCUCUGCCAGUCUACAUCACUCUUGAGUAUUACCGGUGCUUUGUGAAAGGAAGCGCUUUAUCUCUGCAUGCAGCAAUAUGUUUACACCACAGUCAAUAGAUUCAGUACCUGUAACAAUAUAAUCAUCUUUCCUCCAGUCAUCAGCCGAACUACAUAUAAUUAAAAAAGCGUCUCAGUGCUGAAUUAUUCAGGAAAUAAAUAUAGAACAAAGUCCAGGAAAAUAUAUUACAUUUACAUAAAUCUUAUAGAAGAGACAUGUUUCUCCUAUUUGUCAAAAGUGGUUUUAGUGAAGAAAGUUCCCCUGACUGCACACAUUUGAUUACAGCAAAGGGAGCAGAAUACUGUUCUUUUCAAAAGGACAUGUCUUAUUUAGAAGAUGUAAAGCAGUUAUCGAUAAAUCAUUCCAGUGAGCCAUCCACCUCCGAACAGUUUCUGACAUGAGAUUAAGAAAUUCUGUUAUAAAACCAAAAGCACUGUAUUUCUUUUUGUCCUAUGAGACAGGAUCAUGGCCCAAUGCCAUUCAGUAUUUGCCAUUUGAAGAAACUGAAAAUUAAAACUUAUUUCAUAAAAGAUUUGUGCAAAUGUAAAAAGUAAAAUAGGAUUUUGUUGUUUUAUUUGGCAGAUUCCAUUUUUUUUCAGAGGUUGGGUUUACAUUUACAUUAUAUCUGUUUAUUUUGUUUACUUAACCACUGUGUCUCCAUGCAAAUAUUAGUACAUUACUGUAAAUCUGUACAUAAUGUACAUGUAAAGCCUCUAGGAAAAGUUAAGACAACAUUUGAGAUAUUAAAUUCAAUUUAAAUACUGAGCUAUGUGCAUUUGAAGCCUUUUGUUUAAAGGGACCCUAUUAGGCUUUUGGGGGGUUUCCCCUUUCCUGUAGCGGGUUUUAUAGGUUUUUGUGCAUGUGAAUUUAUGUCUACAAUGUCCUUUGUUUACUUCCAUAAUGUAGUGACAUCACUACAUAACACUAGCGCUUCUAUUAGCUAGCGCGUCCCCAUAUUGUACGUGAUAGGCUAAGGGGCGGGACAUCCCUAAGCAGUUGACCAAUCACAACAGAGCCGGCCACCUGACCAAUCAUCUUCUGGUUUCAGACAGGCUGAAAAGAGGUGCUGCAGCACAGGCAGUAUGAGAAAAAUAAAGCAUGUAAACAUGUCACAGUAGAGGCACAAAAUACAAAUAUAAAACCUGAAAAUCAGCAAAAUACUAAUUUAAGAAAGACACAUAAUGAUAUACUGAAACACUGCUGCUAUCAGAUCUGUAUUCAUAUUAUUAACCAAGUGCCAACCAAUAAACUGUAAAAGUGAACAAAAUCCAGCCAUUUACAAAUGAAAAGCAGGGUUUUACGUUCUGAUUUGUAGUACUGCAUUUUAUUGAAUCUAAUAAAUCAUUUUCUCUUGUUUACCAAAAUAAAAAGGUUCAACAUUCCAAAAUAAGA